rnacentral:rRNA from 1 species
UACGUAGGAGGCGAGCGCUGUCCGGAGUUACUGGGCGUAAAGCGCACGCAGGCGGUCCUAUUAGUCUGGGGUGACAGUUCCCGGCUUAACCGGAAAAGGACUCUGGAAACUGUAGGACUUGAGGGCUUCAGAGGGAUGUGGAAUUCCAGGUGGAGUGGUGAAAUGCGUAGAGAUCUGGAAGAACACCAAAGGCGAAGGCAGCAUCCUGGGAAGUUCCUGACGCUCGGGUGCGAAAGCCAGGGGAGCGAACGGG